GUGAAUCAUCGAAUCUUUGAACGCACAUUGCGCCCUUUGGUAUUCCGAAGGGCAUGCCUGUUCGAGCGUCAUUAUCACCCCUCAAGCCCCCCGGCUUGGUGUUGGACGGUUUGGUGGAGGCCCCCUCGCGGAGCCACCGCCCCUCCCAAAGACAAUGACGGCGGCCUCGUUGGACCCCCGGUACACUGAGUUCUUCACGGGACACGUAUCGGACACAUGGGUUUACGGGACACGGUCUGCCUCCCCUCAGGGAGAAUCUUUCUAAGGUUGACCUCGGAUCAGGUAGGGAUACCCGCUGAACUUAAGCAUAUCAAUAAGCGGAGGA
rnacentral:misc_RNA from 1 species